UACGUAGGAGACGAGCGUUGUCCGGAGUUACUGGGCGUAAAGGGUGCGCAGGCGGCCUGGCGCGUCGCGAGUGAAAUCUCCUGGCUCAACUGGGAGGGUGGUCGCGAGACGGCUGGGCUUGAGGCUCGGUGAGGGGCGUGGAAUUCCGGGUGGAGCGGUGAAAUGCGCAGAUAUCGGGAGGAACACCAAUGGCGAAGGCAGCUCGCUGGGACGUUACUGACGCUGAGACGCGAAAGCGUGGGGAGCAAACAGG
rnacentral:rRNA from 1 species